rnacentral:rRNA from 1 species
UACGUAGGUGGCAAGCGUUGUCCGGAUUUAUUGGGUUUAAAGGGUGCGUAGGCGGUCUUAUAAGUCAGUGGUGAAAUACGGCAGCUCAACUGUCGAGGUGCCAUUGAUACUGUAGGACUUGAGUACAGACGAGGAAGGCGGAAUUGACGGUGUAGCGGUGAAAUGCUUAGAUAUCGUCAAGAACACCGAUAGCGAAGGCAGCUUACUAGGCUGUAACUGACGCUGAGGCACGAAAGUGUGGGGAUCAAACAGG